rnacentral:rRNA from 1 species
GGUUAAGCGACUAAGCGUACACGGUGGAUGCCCUGGCAGUCAGAGGCGAUGAAGGACGUGCUAAUCUGCGAUAAGCGUCGGUAAGGUGAUAUGAACCGUUAUAACCGGCGAUUUCCGAAUGGGGAAACCCAGUGUGUUUCGACACACUAUCAUUAACUGAAUCCAUAGGUUAAUGAGGCGAACCGGGGGAACUGAAACAUCUAAGUACCCCGAGGAAAAGAAAUCAACCGAGAUUCCCCCAGUAGCGGCGAGCGAACGGGGAGCAGCCCAGAGCCUGAAUCAGUGUGUGUGUUAGUGGAAGCGUCUGGAAAGGCGCGCGAUACAGGGUGACAGCCCCGUACACAAAAAUGCACAUGCUGUGAGCUCGAUGAGUAGGGCGGGACACGUGGUAUCCUGUCUGAAUAUGGGGGGACCAUCCUCCAAGGCUAAAUACUCCUGACUGACCGAUAGUGAACCAGUACCGUGAGGGAAAGGCGAAAAGAACCCCGGCGAGGGGAGUGAAAAAGAACCUGAAACCGUGUACGUACAAGCAGUGGGAGCACGCUUCGGCGUGUGACUGCGUACCUUUUGUAUAAUGGGUCAGCGACUUAUAUUCUGUAGCAAGGUUAACCGAAUAGGGGAGCCGAAGGGAAACCGAGUCUUAACUGGGCGUUAAGUUGCAGGGUAUAGACCCGAAACCCGGUGAUCUAGCCAUGGGCAGGUUGAAGGUUGGGUAACACUAACUGGAGGACCGAACCGACUAAUGUUGAAAAAUUAGCGGAUGACUUGUGGCUGGGGGUGAAAGGCCAAUCAAACCGGGAGAUAGCUGGUUCUCCCCGAAAGCUAUUUAGGUAGCGCCUCGUGAAUUCAUCUCCGGGGGUAGAGCACUGUUUCGGCAAGGGGGUCAUCCCGACUUACCAACCCGAUGCAAACUGCGAAUACCGGAGAAUGUUAUCACGGGAGACACACGGCGGGUGCUAACGUCCGUCGUGAAGAGGGAAACAACCCAGACCGCCAGCUAAGGUCCCAAAGUCAUGGUUAAGUGGGAAACGAUGUGGGAAGGCCCAGACAGCCAGGAUGUUGGCUUAGAAGCAGCCAUCAUUUAAAGAAAGCGUAAUAGCUCACUGGUCGAGUCGGCCUGCGCGGAAGAUGUAACGGGGCUAAACCAUGCACCGAAGCUGCGGCAGCGACACUGUGUGUUGUUGGGUAGGGGAGCGUUCUGUAAGCCUGUGAAGGUGUACUGUGAGGUAUGCUGGAGGUAUCAGAAGUGCGAAUGCUGACAUAAGUAACGAUAAAGCGGGUGAAAAGCCCGCUCGCCGGAAGACCAAGGGUUCCUGUCCAACGUUAAUCGGGGCAGGGUGAGUCGACCCCUAAGGCGAGGCCGAAAGGCGUAGUCGAUGGGAAACAGGUUAAUAUUCCUGUACUUGGUGUUACUGCGAAGGGGGGACGGAGAAGGCUAUGUUGGCCGGGCGACGGUUGUCCCGGUUUAAGCGUGUAGGCUGGUUUUCCAGGCAAAUCCGGAAAAUCAAGGCUGAGGCGUGAUGACGAGGCACUACGGUGCUGAAGCAACAAAUGCCCUGCUUCCAGGAAAAGCCUCUAAGCAUCAGGUAACAUCAAAUCGUACCCCAAACCGACACAGGUGGUCAGGUAGAGAAUACCAAGGCGCUUGAGAGAACUCGGGUGAAGGAACUAGGCAAAAUGGUGCCGUAACUUCGGGAGAAGGCACGCUGAUAUGUAGGUGAAGCGACUUGCUCGUGGAGCUGAAAUCAGUCGAAGAUACCAGCUGGCUGCAACUGUUUAUUAAAAACACAGCACUGUGCAAACACGAAAGUGGACGUAUACGGUGUGACGCCUGCCCGGUGCCGGAAGGUUAAUUGAUGGGGUUAGCGCAAGCGAAGCUCUUGAUCGAAGCCCCGGUAAACGGCGGCCGUAACUAUAACGGUCCUAAGGUAGCGAAAUUCCUUGUCGGGUAAGUUCCGACCUGCACGAAUGGCGUAAUGAUGGCCAGGCUGUCUCCACCCGAGACUCAGUGAAAUUGAACUCGCUGUGAAGAUGCAGUGUACCCGCGGCAAGACGGAAAGACCCCGUGAACCUUUACUAUAGCUUGACACUGAACAUUGAGCCUUGAUGUGUAGGAUAGGUGGGAGGCUUUGAAGUGUGGACGCCAGUCUGCAUGGAGCCGACCUUGAAAUACCACCCUUUAAUGUUUGAUGUUCUAACGUUGACCCGUAAUCCGGGUUGCGGACAGUGUCUGGUGGGUAGUUUGACUGGGGCGGUCUCCUCCUAAAGAGUAACGGAGGAGCACGAAGGUUGGCUAAUCCUGGUCGGACAUCAGGAGGUUAGUGCAAUGGCAUAAGCCAGCUUGACUGCGAGCGUGACGGCGCGAGCAGGUGCGAAAGCAGGUCAUAGUGAUCCGGUGGUUCUGAAUGGAAGGGCCAUCGCUCAACGGAUAAAAGGUACUCCGGGGAUAACAGGCUGAUACCGCCCAAGAGUUCAUAUCGACGGCGGUGUUUGGCACCUCGAUGUCGGCUCAUCACAUCCUGGGGCUGAAGUAGGUCCCAAGGGUAUGGCUGUUCGCCAUUUAAAGUGGUACGCGAGCUGGGUUUAGAACGUCGUGAGACAGUUCGGUCCCUAUCUGCCGUGGGCGCUGGAGAACUGAGGGGGGCUGCUCCUAGUACGAGAGGACCGGAGUGGACGCAUCACUGGUGUUCGGGUUGUCAUGCCAAUGGCACUGCCCGGUAGCUAAAUGCGGAAGAGAUAAGUGCUGAAAGCAUCUAAGCACGAAACUUGCC